GUGAAUUGGGUGGAAAUGGCCAAAGCCAUUGGAAAUGUUCCUACUGGGACCUUGCAGCAAAAGGUUUAUAAGCUAAAGUCUCGGCAUGUUCCUGACUGGCAAAAGCUGAGUUUUAAAGAAAUUGUGACUUAUAUGUACACGGAGCUUCUACC